rnacentral:rRNA from 1 species
UGGGGAAUAUUGCACAAUGGGGGAAACCCUGAUGCAGCGACGCCGCGUGAGCGAAGAAGUAUUUCGGUAUGUAAAGCUCUAUCAGCAGGGAAGAAAACGCGUCGCAAGGCGCGCGUGACGGUACCUGACUAAGAAGCACCGGCUAAAUACGUGCCAGCAGCCGCGGUAAUACGUAUGGUGCAAGCGUUAUCCGGAUUUACUGGGUGUAAAGGGAGCGCAGGCGGUACGGCAAGUCUGAUGUGAAAGCCCAGGGCUCAACCCUGGUACUGCAUUGGAAACUGCCGGACUAGAGUGUCGGAGGGGUAAGUGGAAUUCCUAGUGUAGCGGUGAAAUGCGUAGAUAUUAGGAGGAACACCAGCGGCGAAGGCGGCUUACUGGACGAUGACUGACGCUGAGGCUCGAAAGCGUGGGGAGCAAACAGG